UACGAAGGGGGCUAGCGUUGCUCGGAAUCACUGGGCGUAAAGCGCACGUAGGCGGAUUGUUAAGUCAGGGGUGAAAUCCUGGAGCUCAACUCCAGAACUGCCUUUGAUACUGAGGAUCUUGAGUUCGGGAGAGGUGAGUGGAACUGCGAGUGUAGAGGUGAAAUUCGUAGAUAUUCGCAAGAACACCAGUGGCGAAGGCGGCUCACUGGUCCGGUACUGACGCUGAUGUGCGAAAGCGUGGGGAGCAAACAGG
rnacentral:rRNA from 1 species